UAUAUAGCUCAGUCGGUAGAGCAUGAGACUCUUAAUUUCAGGAUUGUGGGUUCAAGCCCCAUGUUGGGCAAAG